rnacentral:misc_RNA from 1 species
AAGUCGUAACAAGGUUUCCGUAGGUGAACCUGCGGAAGGAUCAUUACAAAUCAUCGUAUGAACCACCCUGUUGAAACUGUUCGUGUGUGCGUGUGUGAUGAUGAGGAGAUGAGGGUGUUGUCGCUGUAGUAGUGUGCCGAGCCUCGGCCAAGCACAUUACGACGCGACCCACCACGAUCAUCAUCAUCACCACCGCCACAACCCCAACCCUCUUAUUGACUAUUGAUUGACAUGAUAAACGUGUGCAUGUUGAGGAUGAUGAUGACGACGAUCAUCAUCGCAUCAUCAUCAUCAUCAGCAUCACAUAAUAUAAAAACGUACAAAACUUUUAACAAUGGAUCUCUUGGCUCUU